rnacentral:rRNA from 1 species
GAUGAACGCUGGCGGCGUGCUUAACACAUGCAAGUCGAACGAAGCACUUUAACCUGAUUCUUCGGAUGAAGGUUUUUGUGACUGAGUGGCGGACGGGUGAGUAACGCGUGGGUAACCUGCCUCAUGCAGGGGGAUAACAGUUAGAAAUGACUGCUAAUACCGCAUAAGACCACAGAGCCGCAUGGCUCGGUGGGAAAAACUCCGGUGGUAUGAGAUGGACCCGCGUCUGAUUAGGUAGUUGGUGGGGUAACGGCCUACCAAGCCAACGAUCAGUAGCCGACCUGAGAGGGUGACCGGCCACAUUGGGACUGAGACACGGCCCAAACUCCUACGGGAGGCAGCAGUGGGGAAUAUUGCACAAUGGGGGAAACCCUGAUGCAGCGACGCCGCGUGAGCGAAGAAGUAUUUCGGUAUGUAAAGCUCUAUCAGCAGGGAAGAAAAUGACGGUACCUGACUAAGAAGCACCGGCUAAAUACGUG